AUGCUCAGCUCAGUCAUCCAGAUCCGUCCGUUAAGCCUCAGCCCCAGUGAUGACCAAGAAGUCUCUCGGGACCCUCCCCUAGGGCGGCUGAGAAUUUCCUCUUCGGCGCCAGGUGACACGCCCUGCACACACCUCUGGCUCAGUGCGCAUCACAGCAGCGAGAUCAGCCGCACACUCCUGCACCUCCCCCACCAGCUGCUUCAAGGCAAGGCUCUUUCUUCUUCCUUCUUUCCUUCCUUCCUUCCUUCCUUCCUUCCUUCCUUCCUUCCUUCCUUCCUUCCUUCCCUUCCUUCCUUCCCUUCUCUUUCCUUUGCCUCCUUCCCUCCCUCCCUUCCUUCCUUCCCUUCCCUUUCUUCCCUUCCUUCCUUCCCUCCCUUCCUUUCCUUCCUUCCUUUCUUUCCUUUCCUUCCUUCCUUCCUUCCCCUCCCUUCCUUUCCCUUUCCUUCCCUCCUUCCUUCCUUCCCUCCCUCCUUCCUUCUUUCCUUUCCUUCCUUCCUUCCCUUCCUUUCCCUUUCCUUCCCUCCUUCCUUCCUUCCCUCCCUCCUUCCUUCUUUCCUUUCCUUCCCUUCCUUCCCUCCCUCCUUCCUUCUUUCCUUUCCUUCCCUUCCUUCCCUUCCUUCCUUUCCUCCCUUCCUUCUUUCCUUCUUUUCCUUCCUUCCCUUUUCCUUCCUUUCUUUCUUCCUUUCCUUCCUUUCCUUUUCUUUCCUUUUCCUUCCUUCCUUCCUUCCCUCCUUCCUUCCCUCCUUCCUUCCUUCCUUUCUUCCUCCUGCCCCUACACAUACGUAUGUAUGUAUAUUAGUAUAUGUGUAUACAUACAGACAUGUUUGGGAUGGCGGUGUAAAACAAUACUUCAAGAUAUUUCUUAUGUUGCACUUUUAUUUUUAAAUUAAACUACAGUAUCAUGCCUAUUUACUUAAUUUGAUGUUGUGUUCUGGAAUUUAGCAUAGAGCCUGGCCCAAAGAAAGGACAAUAAAUAUUCGCUGAAAAAAAGCACAAAGCUUAACAAUUCUAUUUAUUUUACCCAACUGAACUUCCUUGUGUCAUGAAUUUUUAAUAAAUAGUUUAAAAUUAACAUGUUAAAUUAAGAGCAUGUUCCCUUAAAUAUUUUAAGUAAUUCCUCUGCCCCCUCUCUUUUUAAUUUGAG
rnacentral:lncRNA from 1 species